rnacentral:rRNA from 1 species
GACGAACGCUGGCGGCGUGCUUAACACAUGCAAGUCGAACGGAAAGGCCCUGCUUUUGUGGGGUGCUCGAGUGGCGAACGGGUGAGUAACACGUGAGUAACCUGCCCUUGACUUUGGGAUAACUUCAGGAAACUGGGGCUAAUACCGGAUAGGAGCUCCUGCUGCAUGGUGGGGGUUGGAAAGUUUCGGCGGUUGGGGAUGGACUCGCGGCUUAUCAGCUUGUUGGUGGGGUAGUGGCUUACCAAGGCUUUGACGGGUAGCCGGCCUGAGAGGGUGACCGGCCACAUUGGGACUGAGAUACGGCCCAGACUCCUACGGGAGGCAGCAGUGGGGAAUAUUGCACAAUGGGCGGAAGCCUGAUGCAGCAACUCCGCGUGCGGGAGGACGGCCUUCGGGUUGUAAACCGCUUUCGCCUGUGACGAAGCGUGAGUGACGGUAAUGGGUAAAGAAGCACCGGCUAACUACGU